rnacentral:rRNA from 1 species
GUGGGGAAUUUUGGACAAUGGGGGCAACCCUGAUCCAGCCAUGCCGCGUGCGGGAAGAAGGCCUUCGGGUUGUAAACCGCUUUUGUCAGGGAAGAAAUCCUUUGGGUUAAUACCUCGGAGGGAUGACGGUACCUGAAGAAUAAGCACCGGCUAACUACGUGCCAGCAGCCGCGGUAAUACGUAGGGUGCGAGCGUUAAUCGGAAUUACUGGGCGUAAAGCGUGCGCAGGCGGAUUUGUAAGAUCGAUGUGAAAUCCCCGGGCUCAACCUGGGAACUGCAUUGGUGACUGCAAGGCUGGAGUGCGGCAGAGGGGGAUGGAAUUCCGCUUGUAGCAGUGAAAUGCGUAGAUAGGCGGAGGAACACCGAUGGCGAAGGCAAUCCCCUGGGCCUGCACUGACGCUCAUGCACGAAAGCGUGGGGAGCAAACAGGAUUAGAAACCCUGGUAGUCC